rnacentral:rRNA from 1 species
ACGGGGGGGGCAAGCGUUGUUCGGAAUUACUGGGCGUAAAGGGCGCGUAGGCGGUUCGCUAAGUUGGAUGUGAAAACUCUGGGCUCAACCCAGAGCCUGCAUCCAAAACUGGCGGGCUGGAGUUCUGGAGGGGGUAGCGGAAUUCCUGGUGUAGCGGUGAAAUGCGCAGAUAUCAGGAGGAACACCGAUGGCGAAGGCAGGUCUCUGGGCCACUACUGACGCUGAGAAGCGAAAGCAUGGGGAGCGAACAGGA